UGGCAGGUCUGCUUGCUCUGCGCAGCUGUAUAGGGAGGAAGAACUUGACAACCGCGACUGGCUGCUUCACGGAUCGCGCAACUCACGCGGUUUCUGUGCCAUGGAGAAGAUGUUUUUCACAGUAUGAACAGGUAACCAGCAAUGAAGACCUGCCAAUCCCAAUGGAAAACCCCUAUAAAGAGCCUCUUAAGAAGUGCGUCUUGUGUGAGAAACGUGUAGAUUACAAGAAUGUACAGGUCUUUGUGGGAAGAAGCAGAAGGAAGUGACUAAAGCCAUUAAGCGAGCUCAGAAAAUGGGGUUUAUGCCAGUUACAUACAAGGAUCCGGCAUAUCUCAAAGACCCUAAAGUUUGCAACAUCAGAUACCGAGAAUAAAUUUUGUAAAGUUCCUGCCAAU
rnacentral:lncRNA from 1 species